rnacentral:pre_miRNA from 9 species
CUCCUCUCGGCCCUAUCUCCCAACCCUUGUACCAGUGCGUGCCUCAGUCCCUGGUACAGGAAUGGGGGGCAGGGACCUGGGGAC